UACGAAGGGGGCUAGCGUUGUUCGGAUUUACUGGGCGUAAAGCGCACGUAGGCGGACUAUUAAGUCAGGGGUGAAAUCCCAGGGCUCAACCCUGGAACUGCCUUUGAUACUGUCGAUCUGGAGUAUGGAAGAGGUGAGUGGAAUUCCGAGUGUAGAGGUGAAAUUCGUAGAUAUUCGGAGGAACACCAGUGGCGAAGGCGGCUCACUGGUCCAUUACUGACGCUGAGGUGCGAAAGCGUGGGGAGCAAACAGG
rnacentral:rRNA from 1 species